rnacentral:rRNA from 1 species
AUUGAACGCUGGCGGCAUGCCUUACACAUGCAAAUCGAACGGUAACGGGCCUUCGGGUGCCGACGAGUGGCGAACGGGUGAGUAAUACAUCGGAACGUGCCCGAUCGUGGGGGAUAACGAGGCGAAAGCUUUGCUAAUACCGCAUACGAUCUACGGAUGAAAGCAGGGGACCGCAAGGCCUUGCGCGGACGGAGCGGCCGAUGGCAGAUUAGGUAGUUUGUGGGAUAAAAGCUUACCAAGCCGACGAUCUGUAGCUGGUCUGAGAGGAUGAUCAGCCACACUGGGACUGAGACACGGCCCAGACUCCUACGGGAGGCAGCAGUGGGGAAUUUUGGACAAUGGGCGCAAGCCUGAUCCAGCCAUGCCGCGUGCAGGAUGAAGGCCUUCGGGUUGUAAACUGAUUUUGUACGGAACGAAAAGCCUUCUUUUAAUACAGGAGGGUCAUGACGGUACCGUAAGAAUAAGCACCGGCUAACUACGUG